AUAAAUAUUCUAAAUUCUAUUCCAACAUGAAGCCACAGAGAGCCACAACUCUGCACAACAUUGACUUCUGAGAGAGGAGGAAGGAAGAAACCAGAUAAAGAAAUUGAGGCAGACAGAGGUUAGAGGAUUUGAACUGAUGUUGCCAGGACUUGAAACCAGACAGUGGCUUAUAUUAGAGUCUGUGUUCUCAGCUACCAUACUAUCUGCUGUUCUGCUGAUGACCUGCGGAAAGCUUCAUUCACUGGCAAAAGAGAACAAAGGACCAUGGAAUGUGGAACCUUGCCCAGCCUGCUGCUCAGGAGGCGAUUGCUCAAGGCUGUCUUAUGCAGAGGAGGUCAACAGUUGACCCAUGAACCAUUUAAACUGGAAGGAAGAAUUAACCAAUACCCUGAGAGAUUGACUACAACUACUUUUUCCUGAAAGUUAGAGUGCAGAGUACAGGAGAGGAAGGCCAUUUACUAAUUUUCCUGCUUCCUUCACCAGUCCUCUACCUCUCCAUACCUAAGGUCCUUCACUCAAUAUACUCAAGUCUUCUCUGCUAUGUCUGCAUUCCCACAUGCCACGGCAUAUAAAAGCCUGUGAAGAAAAAACCAACACCUAGAAUUUUUUCCAUCCCUCACCUUUCCUUUGAGAACUCAACAACCCAAGCAACAUGAACCUUUUCCCAAAUACCAUUUAGGAGAAGUCACUGGCAGUUUAAGAAACAGAUUUUUUUAAAAAGUUCCAGGGUGAGACAUCUUCCAACAUAAACUUUAAAUAUCAUUCUUAGCAUCAAAGCAACAAUAUAUUUAGUAUGCUUCAAUCAUUCCCAAGGAGAAAGAUACUGGAAAAUGUGGUUUGAAGUGUAAAUUUAUAGAGCAGAGUCAUAACCGACAGUUAAUAUCUAAUGGUUUCAAUCAAAUUUAUAACAGAGCUGAGUUGGCAGCAAGCAUUCCUGGACCUGUCUCUCCAAUCACAGAGUACCCAGGGACACAGGCAUUUACACACGGACUCCGGGAGCUUGUGCAAUGUGAUACCAACUGCAGUUCUCUUCAUGAACAUAACCUCAGAACCGAAAGUUUCCAGAGCUCAUCACAAUGACUGGCAUAUGGUAAAUGAAUAUUAAUCCAAGGGGAGGAAGGAUGGAA
rnacentral:lncRNA from 1 species